UGUGUUUAACAUGCUUAAAUACUUUAUAAUGUUAAAAUAUCCUGGCUAUUAAAAUUCAGGAAACGUAGGAGGACUAUGCAAUAAUUAAAAUAUACUUGAAGUGUCUGGGGAAAAAGUAUGCAAACCAAAAUGAAAAUGAUUUCAGCUAACUAGUUUGACCCAAUUUCUUCUCUACAUACGCGUAUCCUGAUUGGCAGAGGGAAUAUUUCUCCCGGACAUGGCUACGAGAGGUUACGGAAAGGGACGAGUUAUUACGAAUGGCAGAUACUCCAGAUAUAGUCAUAGUUUAACAUCCAUUACGUACAUCACGAUCCAGGAAAUGUUUCCACACCAAUAACCUGAACUAAAAUUAAUUCUAAAGUCUGAAUUUCAGCGUGGUGGUUAAUAUCCGUGAGGUGGAAACAGAUGGGAGCUAUGAGGAAAUAGACGUACCACUUGGCAACGUAGACGACAUCGUCCCUGUUGUUGCAGCUUACUCCAUCAUCCUCACUGCUGUCUCAGUUGUAGUUGCAGCAGUUGCCGUCCUUGUCUGCAAGGAUGCACGACAUGGUCAUACCGUGAGCAAAUGCGGUACAUACCUAACUGUGGUAGGAGAUAGACUAUCAAGUGACGCAAAUGAUCAUGAGUCUCCUUAUGCGGCCAUCAACAACGAAGAUAUGUUUUCCCUACACGAUUAUGAGAGGCUUCUAAGGGAACAGUUCCAAAUCUACACGUCUCUCCACCCUUCAGCCUCCUCUACACAGCACCCUAGCACCAGAUGCAGCCUUAUGUGAGUGAACAGUUCCACAUCUACACGUCACUCCAUCUUUAGACCCUCGACCGCCUCCGUGGUGUAGUGGUUAGAGCGUCCGCCCGGAGAGCGGAAGGUCGCGGGUUCGAU